UGGAUCCAGACUUUGAUCAUGGCUCAGGAUGAACGCUGGCGGCGUGCCUAAUACAUGCAAGUCGAGCGAACCACUUCGGUGGGAAGCGGCGAACGGGUGAGUAACACGUAGGUGAUCUGCCCAUCAGACGGGGACAACGAUUGGAAACGAUCGCUAAUACCGGAUAGGACGAAAGUUUAAAGAUGCUCCUGGCAUCACUGAUGGAUGAGCCUGCGGCGCAUUAGCUAGUUGGUGGGGUAAAGGCCUACCAAGGCGACGAUGCGUAGCCGACCUGAGAGGGUGAACGGCCACACUGGGACUGAGACACGGCCCAGACUCCUACGGGAGGCAGCAGUAGGGAAUCUUCGGCAAUGGGCGAAAGCCUGACCGAGCAACGCCGCGUGAAUGAAGAAGGCCUUCGGGUUGUAAAAUUCUGUUAUAAGGGAAGAAAGGUGAUAGGAGGAAAUGACUAUCAAUUGACGGUACCUUAUGAGAAAGCCACGGCUAACUACGUGCCAGCAGCCGCGGUAAUACGUAGGUGGCAAGCGUUAUCCGGAAUUAUUGGGCGUAAAGAGCGCGCAGGUGGUUAAUUAAGUCUGAUGUGAAAGCCCACGGCUUAACCGUGGAGGGUCAUUGGAAACUGGUUGACUUGAGUGCAGAAGAGGGAAGUGGAAUUCCAUGUGUAGCGGUGAAAUGCGUAGAGAUAUGGAGGAACACCAGUGGCGAAGGCGGCUUCCUGGUCUGCAACUGACACUGAGGCGCGAAAGCGUGGGGAGCAAACAGGAUUAGAUACCCUGGUAGUCCACGCCGUAAACGAUGAGUGCUAAGUGUUGGGGGUCGAACCUCAGUGCUGAAGUUAACGCAUUAAGCACUCCGCCUGGGGAGUACGGUCGCAAGACUGCAACUCAAAUGAAUUGACGGA
rnacentral:rRNA from 1 species